rnacentral:sRNA from 1 species
UCCAAGUGUCUACCUGGUAGCUUCUUUCCUCUUCGUCCUGAUGCUGCUCUUCUUCACUAUUCUUGUUUUGAGCUACUUUCGGUACAUGAGGAUUUAUAGACGAUAUAUUUAUGAACCACUUCACAAACCUCAAAGAAAACUGCAGGCAAUCAAGAAUGGAAGAUCACAAGCAAGAUGAAAUUCCACGGGCACUGAUCAAAGCUGCUGUCCACAAAGAAUUGCUCAUGUCACCAAAAUCAAGAAUAGGACAGAGAUACCUGCUGGUCAUCGCUGUUUUGAAAGUUCUGACGUCACAGAAGAAAAAUAAAAUAAA